UACGGAGGGUGCGAGCGUUGUCCGGAAUCACUGGGCGUAAAGGGCGCGUAGGUGGCAGCGUAAGCGUGUGGUGAAAGCUCGGGGCUCAACCCCGCGUCGGCCAUGCGAACUGCGUUGCUCGAGCACUGUAGAGGCAGACGGAAUUCCGGGUGUAGCGGUGGAAUGCGUAGAGAUCCGGAAGAACACCGGUGGCGAAGGCGGUCUGCUGGGCAGUUGCUGACACUGAGGCGCGACAGCGUGGGGAGCAAACAGG
rnacentral:misc_RNA from 1 species